rnacentral:tRNA from 1 species
GGGGCCUUAGCAUAGCUGGUUUAUUGCGCCUCAUUUGCAAUGAGGAGGUCAAGGGUUCGAAUCCCUUAGGCUCCA